UACCCGCGGUCCAAGUCGCAGCCAUCAUUAUUGGGUCUAAAACAUCCGUAGCUUGCUUAAUAAGUCUCUUGUGAAAUCCGGCAUCUCAAAUGUCGGGCGGGCAAGAGGUACUGUUAAGCUAGAGACUGGUAGACGUAAAGAGUAUGUUCAAAGUAACGGUAAAAUGUGUUAAUCUUGGACAGACUAACAACAGCGAAGGCACUUUACGAGAACAGUUCUGACAGUAAGGGAUGAAGGCUAGGGUC
rnacentral:rRNA from 1 species